UACGUAGGUGGCAAGCGUUGUCCGGAAUUAUUGGGCGUAAAGCGCGCGCAGGCGGUCCUUUAAGUCUGAUGUGAAAGCCCACGGCUCAACCGUGGAGGGUCAUUGGAAACUGGGGAACUUGAGUGCAGAAGAGAAAAGCGGAAUUCCACGUGUAGCGGUGAAAUGCGUAGAGAUGUGGAGGAACACCAGUGGCGAAGGCGGCUUUUUGGUCUGUAACUGACGCUGAGGCGCGAAAGCGUGGGGAGCAAACAGG
rnacentral:rRNA from 1 species